CUAACAAGGAUUCCCCUAGUAACUGCGAGUGAAGCGGGAAAAGCUCAAAUUUAAAAUCUGAGGGUCUUAUGGCCUUCCGAGUUGUAAUCUAGAGAAGUGCUAUCCGCGCUGGACCGUGUACAAGUCUCCUGGAACGGAGCGUCGUAGAGGGUGAGAAUCCCGUCUUUGACACGGACUACCAGGGCUUAUGUGAUGCGCUCUCAAAGAGUCGAGUUGUUUGGGAAUGCAGCUCUAAAUGGGUGGUAAAUUCCAUCUAAAGCUAAAUAUUGGCGAGAGACCGAUAGCGAACAAGUACCGUGAGGGAAAGAUGAAAAGAACUUUGGAAAGAGAGUUAAACAGUACGUGAAAUUGUUGAAAGGGAAACGCUUGAAGUCAGUCGCGUUGGCCAGGAAUCAACCUUGCUUUUUUGCUUGGCGCAUUUUCUGGUUGACGGGUCAGCAUCAAUUUUGACCGAUGGAUAAAGGUCAAGGGAAUGUGACAUCUUCGGAUGUGUUAUAGCCUUUGGUCGCAUACAUCGGUUGGGAUUGAGGAACUCAGCAUGCCGCAAGGCCGGGUUAUUAACCACGUACGUGCUUAGGAUGCUGGCAUAAUGGCUUUAAUCGACCCGUCUUGAAACACGGACCAAGGAGUCUAACAUGCACGCGAGUGUUUGGGUGGAAAACCCGAGCGCGUAAUGAAAGUGAAAAUUGAGAUCCCUGUCGUGGGGAGCAUCGAUGCCUGGACUUGAACUUUUGUGACGGUUCCACGGUUGAGCGUGUAUGCUGGGACCCGAAAGAUGGUGAACUAUGCCUGAAUAGGGUGAAGCCAGAGGAAACUCUGGUGGAGGCUCGUAGCGAUUCUGACGUGCAAAUCGAUCGUCAAAUUUGGGUAUAGGGGCGAAAGACUAAUCGAACCAUCUAGUAGCU
rnacentral:rRNA from 1 species